UACGGGGGGGGCAAGCGUUGUUCGGAAUUACUGGGCGUAAAGGGCUCGUAGGCGGCCAACUAAGUCGGAUGUGAAAUCCCCAGGCUCAACUUGGGAACUGCAUCCGAUACUGGAUGGCUUGAAUCCGGGAGAGGGAUGCAGAAUUCCAGGUGUAGCGGUGAAAUGCGUAGAUAUCUGGAGGAAUACCGGUGGCGAAGGCGGCAUCCUGGACCGGCAUUGACGCUGAGGCGCGAAAGCGUGGGGAGCGAACAGG
rnacentral:rRNA from 1 species